UGAUGAUGUUCAAGCUAAACCAAGCAGCACUGCUCUUCAUCGAGCUAUUAGUGAUGUGUCAUGUCUUUGAAGUAAUGCUUCAAAAUGAAAACGGAGCUAUGACGGUGCCCAGAGGAGACUCAGUGACGCUGACUUGCAACAUAUCCAAGGAAAAUGCCUCACUAAUCACCUGGACUAACGGCAGAUCAGUUUAUCAAUAUUCCAUUGUGCUGAAUCGCACCUAUUCAAGUUUCUCAUUGCACAGACUGAAAAUAAAUCAUGAGUUCCCUACAAAGCUAAUUAUUUUUAGUGCUCAGCCUGAAGAUGAAGGAAUUUAUGCAUGUACCAUAACAGGCCAAAGUGGUGUAAACAGCAUUACAUGGAAUUUAACUGUGUCUGAGAGUCCCAAAGAAUCUAUUCCAUCACAAUAUUUUCUAUACAUAUUUCCACCUGCAAUUGGAUUCCUUCUGUGUGGCAUCACGCUAGCUGUCUUCCUCUACAGGUGAGUAAAACCUUUAUAACUUUAUCAUCAAUGCAUGAAUGUUGCUCUUUUCUAUGCUGCUGCAGAACUGUUGCAAGUGCUUGUAAGACUGAUUUCGUUAUUAAACUUGAACAACAUUUUUUUAUUGUGUAUGCCUGCAUUUAAAGAGUUAGUUCAUCUCAAAUUACCAAUGAUUAUUUUUAC